GUGCCAGCAGCCGCGGUAAUACGGAGGGUGCGAGCGUUAAUCGGAAUUACUGGGCGUAAAGGGCGCGCAGGCGGUUUGCUAAGACAGGUGUGAAAUCCCCGGGCUCAACCCGGGAACUGCAUCUGUGACUAGCAGACUAGAGUUUGGCAGAGGGGGGUGGAAUUCCUGGUGUAGCAGUGAAAUGCGUAGAUAUCAGGAGGAACACCGAUGGCGAAGGCAGCCCCCUGGGCCACCACUGACGCUCAUGCACGAAAGCGUGGGGAGCAAACAGGAUUAGAUACCCUGGUAGUCCACGCCCUAAACGAUGUCAACUAGUUGUUGGAUCUUUCUUGAUUUGGUAACGAAGCUAACGCGUGAAGUUGACCGCCUGGGGAGUACGGCCGCAAGGUUAAAACUCAAAGAAAUUGGCGG
rnacentral:rRNA from 1 species